rnacentral:rRNA from 1 species
CCUACGGGAGGCAGCAGUGAGGAAUAUUGGUCAAUGGGCGGAAGCCUGAACCAGCCAAGUCGCGUGAGGGAUUAAGGCCCUGCGGGUCGUAAACCUCUUUUGCCGGGGAGCAGAGGUCCGGACGUGUCCGGGCCGGGAGAGUACCCGGAGAAAAAGCAUCGGCUAACUCCGUGCCAGCAGCCGAGGUAAUACGGAGGUUGCGAGCGGUAUCCGGAUUGAUUGGGGUUAAAGGGUGCGUAGGCGGGCAUUUAAGCCGGCGGUCAAAUGUCGGGGCUCAACCCCGGCCUGCCGUCGGAACUGGUUGACUUGAGUGGGCGAGAAGUAUGCGGAAUGCGUGGUGUAGCGGUGAAAUGCAUAGAUAUCACGCAGAACCCCGAUUGCGAAGGCAGCAUACCGGCGCCCUACUGACGCUGAGGCACGAAAGUGCGGGUAUCGAACAGGAUUAGAUACCCUUGUAGUC